rnacentral:rRNA from 1 species
GACAGAGGUGCCGAGCGUUAGGCGGAAUCACUGGGCUUAAAGCGUGUGUAGGCGGGCUUGUAAGUACCUUGUGAAAUCCCACGGCUUAACCGUGGAACUGCUUGGUAUACUGCGAUUCUUGAGCCACUUAGGGGCUACCGGAACAAAUGGUGGAGCGGUGAAAUGCGUAGAUAUCAUUUGGAACGCCAAUGGUGAAAACAGGUAGCUGGGAGUGUGCUGACGCUGAGACACGAAAGCCAGGGGAGCGAACGGG